UGGCCUUGACAUACUAAGAACUUUCCAGAGAUGGAUUGGUGCCUUCGGGAACUUAGAUACAGGUGCUGCAUGGCUGUCGUCAGCUCGUGUCGUGAGAUGUUGGGUUAACGUCCGCAACGAGCGCAACCCUUUUCCUAUUUGCCAGCGGGUAAUGCCGGGAACUUUAAGGAUACUGCCAGUGACAAACUGGAGGAAGGCGGGGACGACGUCAAGUCAUCAUGGCCCUUACGGCCAGGGCUACACACGUGCUACAAUGGUCGGUACAAAGGGUUGCUACCUCGCGAGAGGAUGCUAAUCUCAAAAAGCCGAUCGUAGUCCGGAUCGCAGUCUGCAACUCGACUGCGUGAAGUCGGAAUCGCUAGUAAUCGCGGAUCAGAAUGCCGCGGUGAAUACGUUCCCGGGCCUUGUACACACCGCCCGUCACACCAUGGGAGUUUGUUGCACCAGAAGUAGGUAGUCUAACCGCAAGGAGGACGCUUACCACGGUGUGGCCGAUGACUGGGGUGAAGUCGUAACAAGGUAGGCGUAGAUGA
rnacentral:rRNA from 1 species